UACAGAGGUCCCAAGCGUUGUUCGGAUUCACUGGGCGUAAAGGGUGCGUAGGUGGUGAGGUAAGUCGGAUGUGAAAUCUCCGAGCUCAACUCGGAAAUGGCAUUGGAAACUACCUUGCUCGAGGGUUGGAGGGGGGACUGGAAUGCUUGGUGUAGCAGUGAAAUGCGUAGAUAUCAAGCGGAACACCAGUGGCGAAGGCGAGUCCCUGGACAAUUCCUGACACUGAGGCACGAAAGCUAGGGGAGCAAACAGG
rnacentral:rRNA from 1 species